rnacentral:lncRNA from 1 species
UUCCAAUGCAUAUUUAUUAAACUUUUUGGUACAUUUCUGGCUUCGGUUCUGGAUAUACAAAAAACCAAAAGUAUCUACCACAUUUCCUCCAGGUGGUUUAACUAUUAUUGGGAUGUAGGUCUCAAAACAUAGCUCAGAAUUGGGGGUGGGAGGGUGGGGCAAGACUUACAAAGCCAUUUUCCAAAAUCACUUGAUAGAAAUUUAGAAGAAUUAGUGUAAGUUGUGGAAAGCCCAUCUUGAGAACGGAGAAAAACUAGCAGGGAAAAAUCUACACUGCCCACUCCAGACCAACAGCAACACAUGUCCCAGGCUGGACCCCAGUCCCUUCUUUUUAAAGUCCAGAUUUUGCCCUCUCUUCUCUCUAUAGCUACAUCCCUCUGCCAGCUUUUGGAGUUCCUUUUACCCUACAAUUAUCUGUUGAGUAACAAAUCUUUGCCUAGCUCAUCCUGGACCUCUCUCCUAGGAAACUAAAAAAAGGAAGAUAGGAAAGAAGGAGAAAAAAUCAUCUCAUUUUGAUGAUUCAUUACUAUUGUGGAGAAAUAAGAAAUGGAUAAUAAAAUUAGAUAUGUAAAUGUUAUAAAAUUUCCAGAUAUCUUAUAGAGUUCUCAUUGUAAUUAUUUGUUGGUUCAUUUAUUUAUGUUUUAAGUUUCUUCUCAGCAAUACUCCCCUCUAUCUCUAGGUCCCUACCCCUUUAGCCAUUUUGACUUCCUGGAAUGAUCUUCAAGACAUGUAACAGCCUAACAACCGCCAUUUUAUGGGCAUCAGCCAAUCAAAAAAGAUGCCAGCUAUAAACAAAUGGAUGGCCGUCCUGGUAAAUGCAGUCCAGAAGAAAGUAAACCAGCAUUACAUGCCCCUCCCCUGAGUUGGGUAAUAUCCACCUCAAUGUACAUCUUCUUUUAUGAGGAAAAGAUCACUGACGAUCUUCUCAUGCUAAGGUGGUUGAGACAAGGUGAUUCAUCGUCUGUUAGUUAGCUAGAUGUCAAGUUUUCACCAAAAGACCUUCAGUUGGUGGAUGACCUAGAUGGAGUACUAAUCCUCCUCAAUAGAGAAGGAUCAGCAGUGGGAGAAUUCUUAUGUAAAAGAAAUGAUGAAAGGUCAUCCUUCUGUGAGUUGCUGAGUGGUUUUAAGGAAAACUCCAAUCUGUCUACUCUAAAGUUAAAUGAUUACAGUGAUUUUUAUAGCAAUCUUGAGAUUAAUUACCAAUGUUCUUAAAAAGGUUAUUACAUGCUUUUUGCCAAUUAUUGUGAUUACCCUGAAGAAUAAAUGC